rnacentral:rRNA from 1 species
CUACGGGCGGCAGCAGUGGGGAAUAUUGGACAAUGGGGGAAACCCUGAUCCAGCAAUGCCGCGUGUGUGAAGAAGGCCUUAGGGUUGUAAAGCACUUUCAGUAGUGAGGAAAAGUUUAAGGCUAAUACCCUUGAACCCUGACGUUAACUACAGAAGAAGCACCGGCUAACUUCGUGCCAGCAGCCGCGGUAAUACGAAGGGUGCAAGCGUUAAUCGGAUUUACUGGGCGUAAAGCGCGCGUAGGCGGUUUGAUAAGUCGGAUGUGAAAGCCCCGGGCUCAACCUGGGAAUUGCAUUCGAUACUGUCAGGCUAGAGUAUGGUAGAGGGAAGUGGAAUUCCAAGUGUAGCGGUGAAAUGCGUAGAUAUGUGGAGGAACACCAGUGGCGAAGGCGACUUCCUGGCCCAAUACUGACGCUGAGGUGCGAAAGCGUGGGGAGCAAACAGGAUUAGAUACCCCCGUAGUC